GCCAGAUUUCAGGGAGACAACAGAUAUCUGGAAGAAAAAGGGGAAUCGUUCGUCCGGUGUAGGCGAUCGCGGUUGGAGGUCAAAGGGUUCAAACAGGAAGUUACCCGAGCAACUCGCCCCCCAGUCCCGACCCGUUGCAGGCCGGAGCGGACGGGUCACCUGAUCACGUUGUUCUUCGACCCUCUGAGUAGAUCAGUGGGAGGCCUGGACAAUGAUACGUACACACUCAUACGCACAUUACAAUCUCUUUUCUAUUCUGUCUCACCCUCUGUCUAUCUGUCUGUCUGUCUGUCUGUCUCCCUUCCCAGCAGGCACUGCUCUGACGAUGAACUUAUUUGUUUGGGCCAAACGCUUGUGAAUGUGUCGAUUAAUCACACUGACAUCGUUUUUUUAAGACAUGAUGACGCAAAGCCGGUAUGUAUACGUAUGACUCUAUGUCUAAACUACUUCAUAGUCAUACUAGACACACACACAUGUCCCUGUGUCAUGAAGGUAAAUCAAAUGGUCCAUUAAAUAAAAUAAACGAUUUACAAAUUUAAGAAAGAAGGUAGUGAGAAUACUACUUUUAAUUGAUGGAUUGUUAUUUAAUUGAUUUUUGGGCAAGGACACUGUGACUGAAGUGGUUCAGAAAACGUAAAUGUUUACAAAAUGUGUGGAAUGUGUGAUGGAAAUUUUUGUAAUUUAUAGUGACAUUUUUUCAAGUCGGUUAACGUGUGUAUGUUCAUCAGAAAUGACCAGUUCCAUGUAGAAUUACACGUGUGACAUUUCAAUCAUCUGGAAUAAAAGUGUUUUAUUGUU